AGUGAACGCUGGCGGCGUGCCUAACACAUGCAAGUCGAACGGAUCUUAAGGGCUUGCUCUUAAGGUUAGUGGCGCACGGGUGAGUAACACGUAGCUAACCUGCCCCAUAGUAAGGGACAACAGUUGGAAACGACUGCUAAUACCUUAUACUCCUUCUCUACCUAAGUAGAGUCGGGAAAGUUUUUUCGCUAUGGGAUGGGGCUGCGGCCUAUCAGCUUGUUGGGGAGGUAAUGGCUCACCAAGGCUAUGACGGGUAGCUGGUCUGAGAGGAUGAUCAGCCACAUUGGAGCUGAGACACGGUCCAAACUCCUACGGGAGGCAGCAGUGGGGAAUUUUACACAAUGGGCGAAAGCCUGAUGUAGCAACGCCGCGUGGAGGAUGAAGGAUUUAGGUUCGUAAACUCCUUUUAUAAGGGAAGAAAUUUGACGGUACCUUAUGAAUAAGCACCGGCUAACUCCGUGCCAGCCGCCGCUGUAA
rnacentral:rRNA from 1 species